GAUGAACGCUGGCGGCGUGCCUAAUACAUGCAAGUCGAGCGAACGGACGAGAAGCUUGCUUCUCUGAUGUUAGCGGCGGACGGGUGAGUAACACGUGGAUAACCUACCUAUAAGACUGGGAUAACUUCGGGAAACCGGAGCUAAUACCGGAUAAUAUUUUGAACCGCAUGGUUCAAAAGUGAAAGACGGUCUUGCUGUCACUUAUAGAUGGAUCCGCGCUGCAUUAGCUAGUUGGUAAGGUAACGGCUUACCAAGGCAACGAUGCAUAGCCGACCUGAGAGGGUGAUCGGCCACACUGGAACUGAGACACGGUCCAGACUCCUACGGGAGGCAGCAGUAGGGAAUCUUCCGCAAUGGGCGAAAGCCUGACGGAGCAACGCCGCGUGAGUGAUGAAGGUCUUCGGAUCGUAAAACUCUGUUAUUAGGGAAGAACAUAUGUGUAAGUAACUGUGCACAUCUUGACGGUACCUAAUCAGAAAGCCACGGCUAACUACGUGCCAGCAGCCGCGGUAAUACGUAGGUGGCAAGCGUUAUCCGGAAUUAUUGGGCGUAAAGCGCGCGUAGGCGGUUUUUUAAGUCUGAUGUGAAAGCCCACGGCUCAACCGUGGAGGGUCAUUGGAAACUGGAAAACUUGAGUGCAGAAGAGGAAAGUGGAAUUCCAUGUGUAGCGGUGAAAUGCGCAGAGAUAUGGAGGAACACCAGUGGCGAAGGCGACUUUCUGGUCUGUAACUGACGCUGAUGUGCGAAAGCGUGGGGAUCAAACAGGAUUAGAUACCCUGGUAGUCCACGCCGUAAACGAUGAGUGCUAAGUGUUAGGGGGUUUCCGCCCCUUAGUGCUGCAGCUAACGCAUUAAGCACUCCGCCUGGGGAGUACGACCGCAAGGUUGAAACUCAAAGGAAUUGACGGGGACCCGCACAAGCGGUGGAGCAUGUGGUUUAAUUCGAAGCAACGCGAAGAACCUUACCAAAUCUUGACAUCCUUUGACAACUCUAGAGAUAGAGCUUUCCCCUUCGGGGGGCAAAGUGACAGGUGGUGCAUGGUUGUCGUCAGCUCGUGUCGUGAGAUGUUGGGUUAAGUCCCGCAACGAGCGCAACCCUUAAGCUUAGUUGCCAUCAUUAAGUUGGGCACUCUAAGUUGACUGCCGGUGACAAACCGGAGGAAGGUGGGGAUGACGUCAAAUCAUCAUGCCCCUUAUGAUUUGGGCUACACACGUGCUACAAUGGACAAUACAAAGGGCAGCGAAACCGUGAGGUCAAGCAAAUCCCAUAAAGUUGUUCUCAGUUCGGAUUGUAGUCUGCAACUCGACUACAUGAAGCUGGAAUCGCUAGUAAUCGUAGAUCAGCAUGCUACGGUGAAUACGUUCCCGGGUCU
rnacentral:rRNA from 1 species